rnacentral:rRNA from 1 species
GACGAACGCUGGCGGCGUGCUUAACACAUGCAAGUCGAACGGAAAGGCCCUGCUUUUGUGGGGUGCUCGAGUGGCGAACGGGUGAGUAACACGUGAGUAACCUGCCCUUGACUUUGGGAUAACUUCAGGAAACUGGGGCUAAUACCGGAUAGGAGCUCCUGCUGCAUGGUGGGGGUUGGAAAGUUUCGGCGGUUGGGGAUGGACUCGCGGCUUAUCAGCUUGUUGGUGGGGUAGUGGCUUACCAAGGCUUUGACGGGUAGCCGGCCUGAGAGGGUGACCGGCCACAUUGGGACUGAGAUACGGACCAGAAUCCUACGGGAGGCAGCAGUGGGGAAUAUUGCACAAUGGGCGGAAGCCUGAUGCAGAAACGCCGCGUGCGGGAUGACGGCCUACGGGUUGUAAACCGCUUUCGACUGUGACGAAGCGUGAGUGACGGUAAUGGGUAAAGAAGCACCGGCUAACUACGUG